GAUGAACGCUGGCGGCGUGCCUAAUACAUGCAAGUCGAGCGAACAGAUAAGGAGCUUGCUCCUUUGACGUUAGCGGCGGGCGGGUGAGUAACACGUGGGUAACCUACCUAUAAGACUGGAAUAACUCCGGGAAACCGGGGCUAAUGCCGGAUAACAUUUAGAACCGCAUGGUUCUAAAGUGAAAGAUGGUUUUGCUAUCACUUAUAGAUGGACCCGCGCCGUAUUAGCUAGUUGGUAAGGUAACGGCUUACCAAGGCAACGAUACGUAGCCGACCUGAGAGGGUGAUCGGCCACACUGGAACUGAGACACGGUCCAGACUCCUACGGGAGGCAGCAGUAGGGAAUCUUCCGCAAUGGGCGAAAGCCUGACGGAGCAACGCCGCGUGAGUGAUGAAGGUCUUCGGAUCGUAAAACUCUGUUAUUAGGGAAGAACAAAUGUGUAAGUAACUGUGCACGUCUUGACGGUACCUAAUCAGAAAGCCACGGCUAACUACGAG
rnacentral:rRNA from 1 species